GCUCCGUAGGGCGCUGCGGGCCGGACUGCGCGGUCAGGCGCCCGCUGCCGCUCGGCGUUUGAAGAAACGGCUUCGAAUUCUAGCUUCCGACGUCGGUCUUUCCGGUGCAUUCGCCGCGGAGCGACCGGGAUCACCUUCUUUGCCCUCAGAGGAAAAUUGUAGGGGGUGUAUGUAUCGACAAAGGCAGAUAGUGGAGUCCGCAACUAUCCUCCACCUCUGUGAAAAAACGUGAGAAGCCAGAGAUGGAAAUUAAUGAAGAGACCAUUUGGCCAGACUCUAGAAUGACUUUUUCAUCCACCUGCUGAGGACACAAAUGCCAGACUCGAAGACCUUCAAGCAGCACUUUGAAAGCAAGCAUCCUAAGAUUCUACUUCCUCCAGAAUUGGCUGAUGUUCAGGCAUAAAGUUGUUUACAGAGAAAUGAUGGAUUAUUUAUAUAAAACAAAAAAGAACUUGGAAUUCCUGUCUUCAGAGAAUUUUACACAGAAGGAAACUAAGAUCCAGAGAAAUUAAUAAUUUUGUCUGAUGUCAUGGAGCUUGUUAAUGACAGAACCAAUAUUUCAGAGAGGGAGGCAUUGUUCCAAGAAAUGCACAAUGUCAAAUUGUAUGCAUCCAGAUAUAAUCUUCAGAAGUGUUUACUUGGAUCAUUCUGCUUGAAAAGAAUGUGAGCUGGUGCAGCCACUCUGGAAAACUGUGUGGAGGUUCCUCAAAGAGUUAAAAAUAUACCUGCCCUACGACCCAGCAAUUGCACUGUUGGGGAUUUACCCCAA